rnacentral:lncRNA from 1 species
ACAUGUCCAAAUCAUACUGAUCAAAUAGGCAACUCCAGAGCAAGUGGAGUGCAAAAACACCUUUUGCUGAGCUGAUAGCCUACUAGAAGGAAUGUCAACCUAUCUAUCGAAACCUGCGGGCAUGAAACGCAGCGUCCCCAAGCAAAAGGGACGUCAGUACGAAUAAAGUACCGAGUAUGUAAGGUAGGAAAGCAUAAACAAGAACAGUAAUGUAAAUGAGAGAUAGAGGAGAUACAACCUGUAACAUCUGAGUGCCUCUGGGGGCUACUGACAUAAAAUGCAUAAUACAUAUAUAUACAUAAACUUUUAAAAAUAUAUGCCUUUGUGGGCAUCAUCAUCAUCAUAUUGUACCCGACCUAAAAGAGGACUCGGUAAAAAUGUACCCAGCCAUCAUAAGGGUCGGUAGAAUCAUACCCGGCCAUGUGGAGCUCGUUAAACCCAACUGAUCAGUGUUUGCACAAUAGGUUCAGUACCCGACACGGUAGAAUAAAAUAGAUAUUAUAUAUAAUGCAUGGUAAACUGAUGGAAUCACGUUCUAAUCCUUUCGGAGUGAUGUAAGGUCGCUGCACCUUCGAUUAACAUUAUAGACAUCCAUACCCUCAAUGUGAACCUCAGUAGGAUUCAAGGAUCAUACACACUUUCAUAGAAUAACUUUAUAAGGAAAGAAUAACAUGGACAACCUUAGUUCCUAGAAGUAGAUGCAUUAUGAAUUAGCGUUUCGUUUAUGUUCAUUCCACUUUAGAUCAUGCGAAAAGAAAGAAGGAAGUGCCUAAACAUACCUUAACUCAAUUGAGUCCUUAAUACCUUCCAAGUAAUUCUUCAAACAAUUCAACUCAAUCUACUAUAGCAUGAGGAGAUUCAAAAGCAGUAUUGAGUAAAGGCUAUGUCCCCAACUUAAACUAGUAGCUCGUUUAUGUAAAUUUGGACAGCAUCUCCCCUGUAGCAAGAGAUUCCUCCAAUACCAUAUACCAACAAAAAUGACCGGAGCAAUCCAUCAAUACAUAAUUAUCAAUAACAAGACACCAUAUAACAACAACAAGUCACAACUACUUCACGACGAGCGGCAAGCUCCAAUUGGAAUCUGUAUACCCCUUAUCACCCCUUAUAGACUUCUUACUGCAACUUAACAGUAUCAUUAACAUGAUAAUAAAGUCAUUCAUUGACUCCAUCCUUAUACCACAUAUUUAUGACAAAGGAAACAAUCCACAACUCCAACUAUCUUCAGUUAGAAUCUUUAUUUACUAGUUCAUGUAUAGUCCAUCCAUUUAACUUAAUAAAUAUCAGUAUAACCUUAAGAACAUGCAACAACACAAUACACAUACCACCUACAGUAACUUCAAGUGAAAAUUCAAGUUAUAUUUAGCUUACAACAGCCCUCAAUGGCAAAACAACAUCAUAGAAGUGACUUAAGCUAAUCCAAGUAGUAUCUUGUAGUUUAUCUUCCUAACAACUUACCCAACAUACAAGCAAGAUUAAUAACAAUUAGUAGGCUAUUAUACUAACAUUAGCCAGUAGAAAAAACUUGAAAUUUCAGCCAAACACACCCCACAACUAUCCUCAAUGACAACACAACCUCAAAGAGGUGUUGUUCUUCACUAUUUGAUGUUGAAAUAUGGUGUAAUCCAUUUGCAAGACUUGAAAUAACCUAGGGUUGAUAUUAAAACCUUGGGAGAGUAUUUUAAAGAACUUAAACCACUAUAAAAAAUCUCCCACUCGAGCUGGAACCACCCAAAAAUCAGCAACAAGAAGAAGAAGAAGAAGAAGAAACUUACUAGUGCGACGGGAUUUCCGACACUUGAUUUGAGUUGUUUGCCUCUGUUUGGAUCUUAGAUCAUGAGAGAACCUUGAGAGAGUGUUUUUAGGUGUCUAGGGUCUGAAUAUACUGUAAAAGCAUAAGUUAAAAUGGGUUGAGGCUUCUUAUAUAUAUCCAUACUAGUGAGGUUAUGCCCGGGCUAAGCCCGGGCCCAAUGGCUAGAAGAAGCUUCACAUUAGAAAAUUCAUGAUUAUUUUUAUUUUCGUCGAAAUUCACAAAAGGAAUUGCAGAAGCAACAAUUACAUGUGGAGUCUGAACCAAAAUGUGACAACAUUAAAAUUUAUUAGGAGGUAUUUGUUAGCUUAACACAUAAUUCAAAUUGCAAAGAACUUGUUAUGUUUUUAAAUUUUAGCUACAAUGAAAUAUAUUGUAGCUAUUUUAUCUUUCUUCUGAAUCAAGUAUUUGAGAAGACUUGAUUUAACGUGUACUGCAGAAGCAUAGUAUGUAAUGUUAUUGUCACUGAACCUAAACUUUAACUAUGCACAAGAGAUCACCAACAAAAUCUUUGUUCCUAUACAUCAUAUAACUUUAACUAUGCAUAAGAGAUCACCAUUCACCAACAAAAUUUUUGUUCCUAUACAUCAUAGAACUGCUUGAAAUUUCUCUCUAUGUGUCAAGCCAGCUACUAAACAACUUUGGUUUUCUUCAUUUUCCUGCGAGUGUUAGAGCUGAUAGGCUUUUGUUGAAUUGUGCACAUUCUUAUCUAAGAGCGAAACAUAAAUAAAGGAGCAUUAGCGUUACUAUGUUUUAAGCAGGGAAACAUGAAACUUAUUAGUAACUGGAACAAAUGAUAAGAUAGAACAAUGAGUAAUGUUGUGGACCCACAACGUCACUUCAAUAAGCCUAACAUAAUACCAAAAAGAAAGGAUCUUUUUCUAUGUGAUUUUGAGCGCAAUUAAUAUCGUUCACUAUUGUGAUAAAACUGACGUAUCUAAACUAUAUACUGAAAUCCCAAAACACAAUCAACAGAAAACUAUAAUAGAAAAAGAAACAGACCAAUGUAUGAAUUGCCCAGAUAAAAUAGUAGCAAGUAGAUGAAAAGAACCAUUUCUGAAGAUUUCAGGACUCUGAAAGAACAGAGGAAAAAGAUACACUUAUUAGGCCUAUGUAAUAAUAACUCAAAACAAAAUAGAUCUCUGAGUAGUAAGAUGGAAUCACUUGGCCGGAUUAAAUAUACAAAUUUUGAAUAAUGACAUUUCAAGUACUUUAUUGUCACGACCCAAACUGGAGGGCCAUGACUAGCACCAGACCAUACUUGUCGAGCACCAACGUACAUUUCAUCUAACCUUCAUUAUUAUCUUUUAGGGCUGACGAGAUCAAUAUAAAUGGUAGACCUGGAUCAUGGACAACAAACAAUAAAAUAUGACGGCAUGAACAUACAUAGCAGGGGAUGACCAGAAAAUCAAGAAACUACAUAUAAGGUAUGAGCUACCACGCUACCAUGAAAGACUAUAUAAUAAAAACCAGUCGACAAGGCAUACCAAACUAUACAUGAGUCGACACUUGUCUAUGAGCCUUUAAAUGAACAUAAGUGCUGCAACAUAGCCGAAACAGGGCCCCAACAUACCCAUAAUCUCUAUAACAAAAUUCAUACCAAGACCAAGGCAAGUUCGGAGAAGGGAUCUCGCCAAUCACCACUGAACUGGACAGCCUACUAUGGUGGGGGAGCUGCACCUCCCUGUCUAUCAGGACCUGCAGCACAACAUGCAGCAUCCACAAAUAAAAGGACGUCAGUACAAAUAAGGUACUGAGUAUGUAAGGAAGGGAACCAUAAAUACGAUCAGUAAUGUAAGCAAGGAUAGAGAAUAUACAACCUGUAACAUCUUAGUACCUCUGAGGGCUACUGACAUGAAAUGCAUGAUACAUAUGAAUAAAUACAUAAACCUUUAAAACAUUCGCCUUUGUGGGCAUCAUCAUCAUCAUAUCGUACCCGGCCAUAAUAGGCUCGGUAAAAAACGUACCCGGCCAUCAUAAGGCUCGGUAGAAUCGUACCCGGCCACGUGGAGCUCGGUAAAACCCAACUGAUCAGUGGUUGCACAAUAGGUGCCGUACCCGGCCAACUAUAGCGUGGCUCGGUAGAGUAAAAUAGAUACAUAUAUAUAAUGCAUGCUCGACUCAUAGAAUCACAUUCUAAACCUUUCGGAGUGACGUAAGGUCGGUAUCCUCUGUACACGUUAUUAGGACUAACUCUUCACU